rnacentral:rRNA from 1 species
ACUGCGAGUGAGAGGGAUAAGCUCAAAUUUUAAAUCUGUUUGGUUUUACUAGACAGAGUUGUAAUUUGAAGAAACGUUUUCUGCGUCUUGUAUUAAUCCAAAUCCUUUGGAAUGAGGUAUCAUGGAGGGUGACAAUCCCGUUCGUGGUUAAUUUCGAGAUGCUUUAUGAUACGUUUUCGAAGAGUCGAGUUGUUUGGGAUUGCAGCUCAAAAUGGGAGGUAAAUUUCUCCUAAAGCUAAAUAUUGGCGAGAGACCGAUAGCGAACAAGUACCGUGAGGGAAAGAUGAAAAGAACUUUGAAAAGAGAGUUAAACAGUACGUGAAAUUGUUGAAAGGGAAACGAUUGAAGUCAGUCGUACCAACGGGAAAUCAACCUUUCGAUCGUGAUUUUGGGGCUUUAAAAGAGUGGCCAAACCUUUUGAAGUUUCCUAAAUCUUUUCUUUUGGUGUACCUUCUCG